rnacentral:rRNA from 1 species
UACGGAGGGGACUAGCGUUGCUCGGAAUCACUGGGCGUAAAGCGCACGUAGGCGGGUUCUUAAGUCAGGGGUGAAAUCCUGGAGCUCAACUCCAGAACUGCCUUUGAUACUGAGGAUCUUGAGUUCGGGAGAGGUGAGUGGAACUGCGAGUGUAGAGGUGAAAUUCGUAGAUAUUCGCAAGAACACCAGUGGCGAAGGCGGCUCACUGGCCCGAUACUGACGCUGAGGCACGAAAGCGUGGGGAGCAAACAGG